rnacentral:ncRNA from 1 species
GACGAGUACUAGGGGAGCCAGAAUGGCUGAGAUGAGUUUUCAGACCCUUUGAACCUGCACUGGGUAAUGCCAGCGAAGGGAAGUUAUAAGAUAAUAUA